CGCGAGCCAAUCGAAAAAUAUUUUAGCGCAGUAUUUUCUGAACGAACUCUACGAUUCACCGACCCUUGUCAUAUGUUUUAUGGCGGAAAUUAUUCAUUCGUAUGAAUGACAUUACAAGAAGGACAAAAUCAUUUUCGACGUGAUACGGAGCAGACGUGUAGAUCAAUCGUUUUAUUCCGUCUCAUCCUAACAAAUUGCAAAUCAAUUAGUUUACGACAGGUGUAUAGGCAAAUACUAUUCGUAAGUUAAUUGUAACGAUUGUCAGUAAGUGCACGACAAAUUAGUUGUAAUUCCUGCCGAAUUUAAUUGUUUAUAGAAUUUUAAAGCUCUCAUUCGACUUGAGAACAAUAAACAAAUACAGCUACAAA